rnacentral:rRNA from 1 species
CCUACGGGUGGCAGCAGUGGGGAAUAUUGCUCAAUGGGGGAAACCCUGAUGCAGCGACGCCGCGUGAGUGAAGACGUAUUUCUGUACGUAAAGCUCUAUCAGCAGGGAAGAAAAUGACGGUACCUGACUAAGAAGCCCCGGCUAACUACGUGCCAGAAGCCGUGGUAAUACGUAGGGGGCAAGCGUUAUCCGGAUUUACUGGGUGUAAAGGGAGCGUAGACGGCGGCGCAAGUCUGAAGUGAAAGCCCAUGGCUUAACCAUGGAACUGCAUUGGACACUGUGCAGCUGGAGUGCAGGGGAGGUAGGCGGAAUUCCUAGUGUAGCGGUGAAAUGCGUAGAUAUUAGGAGGAACACCAGUGGCGAAGGCGGCUUACUGGACUGUAACUGACGUUGAGGCUCGAAAGCGUGGGGAGCAAACAGGAUUAGAUACCCGAGUAGUC